rnacentral:rRNA from 1 species
CGUAACAAGGUCUCCGUAGGUGAACCUGCGGAGGGAUCAUUACACAAAUAUGAAGGCGGGCUGGAACCUCUCGGGGUUACAGCCUUGCUGAAUUAUUCACCCUUGUCUUUUGCGUACUUCUUGUUUCCUUGGUGGGUUCGCCCACCACUAGGACAAACAUAAACCUUUUGUAAUUGCAAUCAGCGUCAGUAACAAAUUAAUAAUUACAACUUUCAACAACGGAUCUCUUGGUUCUGGCAUCGAUGAAGAACGCAGCGAAAUGCGAUAAGUAGUGUGAAUUGCAGAAUUCAGUGAAUCAUCGAAUCUUUGAACGCACAUUGCGCCCUUUGGUAUUCCAAAGGGCAUGCCUGUUCGAGCGUCAUUUGUACCCUCAAGCUUUGCUUGGUGUUGGGCGUCUUGUCUCUAGCUUUGCUGGAGACUCGCCUUAAAGUAAUUGGCAGCCGGCCCACUGGUUUCGGAGCGCAGCACAAGUCGCACUCUCUAUCAGCAAAGGUCUAGCAUCCAUUAAGCCUUUUUUUCAACUUUUGACCUCGGAUCAGGUAGGGAUACCCGCUGAACUUAAGC